rnacentral:rRNA from 1 species
UACGUAGGGUGCAAGCGUUAAUCGGAAUUACUGGGCGUAAAGCGUGCGCAGGCGGUUCGUUGUGUCGGCGGGGAAAGCCCCGAGCUUAACCUGGGAAUGGCCGUUGAAACUGGCGAACUGGAGUGUGGCAGAGGGGGGUGGAAUUCCGCGUGUAGCAGUGAAAUGCGUAGAGAUGCGGAGGAACACCGAUGGCGAAGGCAGCCCCCUGGGCUAACACUGACGCUCAGGCACGAAAGCGUGGGGAGCAAACAGG